rnacentral:rRNA from 1 species
UACGGAGGGUGCGAGCGUUGUCCGGAAUCACUGGGCGUAAAGGGCGCGUAGGCGGCAGGCCAAGCGUGCGGUGAAAGUCCGGGGCUCAACCCCGGAUCUGCCGUGCGGACUGGUUUGCUAGAGCACUGUAGAGGCGAGUGGAAUUCCGGGUGUAGCGGUGAAAUGCGCAGAUAUCGGGAGGAACACCUAUGGCGAAGGCAGCUCGCUGGGACGUUACUGACGCUGAGACGCGAAAGCGUGGGGAGCAAACAGG